rnacentral:rRNA from 1 species
AUAUCAAUAAGCGGAGGAAAAGAAACCAACAGGGAUUGCCCCAGUAACGGCGAGUGAAGCGGCAACAGCUCAAAUUUGAAAUCUGGCCCCCGGGUCCGAGUUGUAAUUUGCAGAGGAUGCUUCGGGCGAGGUGCCUUCCGAGUUCCCUGGAACGGGACGCCACAGAGGGUGAGAGCCCCGUCUGGUCGGACACCGAGCCCGUGUGAAGCUCCUUCGAAGAGUCGAGUAGUUUGGGAAUGCUGCUCAAAACGGGAGGUAUAUGUCUUCUAAAGCUAAAUAUUGGCCAGAGACCGAUAGCGCACAAGUAGAGUGAUCGAAAGAUGAAAAGCACUUUGAAAAGAGGGUUAAAAAGUACGUGAAAUUGUUGAAAGGGAAGCGCCCAUGACCAGACUUGGGCCCGGUGAAUCACCCGGCGUUCUCGCCGGUGCACUUUGCCGGGCACAGGCCAGCAUCAGUUUGGCGCGGGGGAGAAAGGCUUCGGGAACGUGGCUCCCUCGGGAGUGUUAUAGCCCGCUGCGCAAUACCCUGCGCCGGACUGAGGUACGCGCAUCGCAAGGAUGCUGGCGUAAUGGUCAUCAGCGA